GGCCAUAGCUCAGUGGUGGAGCACCUGCUUUGAGUGCAGAAGGUCCCAGCUUCAAUUCACAGAAUCUCCAGGCAGAGCUA